GUGAAGAACGCAGCGAAAUGCGAUACGUAAUGUGAAUUGCAGAAUUCAGUGAAUCAUCGAAUCUUUGAACGCAUAUUGCGCUCUCUGGUAUUCCGGAGAGCAUGCUUGUUUGAGUAUCAGUAAACACCUCAACUUCCAUAUCUUUUUUGAAAUGGGAGUUGGACUUGAGUGAUCCCAACGCUUUUCCUCACCGAAAAGUGGCGGGUUACUUGAAAUGCAGGUGCAGCUGGACUUUUCUCUGAGCUAUAAGCAUAUCUAUUUAGUCUGCCUAAAAAACAGAUUAUUACCUUUGCUGCAGCUAACAUAAAGGAGAUUAGUUCUUGUGCUGACUGAUGCAGGAUUCACAAAGACAGGCUUCGGCCGACUUUGUAAACUCGAUCUCAAAUCAAGUAAGACUACCCGCUGAACUUAAGCAUAUCAAUAAGCGGAGGA
rnacentral:misc_RNA from 1 species